GAGACAGCAGUAGCCGCGGUAAUACGUAGGUGGCAAGCGUUGUCCGGAAUUAUUGGGCGUAAAGGGCUCGCAGGCGGUUUCUUAAGUCUGAUGUGAAAGCCCCCGGCUCAACCGGGGAGGGUCAUUGGAAACUGGGAAACUUGAGUGCAGAAGAGGAGAGUGGAAUUCCACGUGUAGCGGUGAAAUGCGUAGAGAUGUGGAGGAACACCAGUGGCGAAGGCGACUCUCUGGUCUGUAACUGACGCUGAGGAGCGAAAGCGUGGGGAGCGAACAGGAUUAGAUACCUCCGUAGUCCCUGUCUCUUAUAC
rnacentral:rRNA from 1 species